UACGGAGGGUGCAAGCGUUAAUCGGAAUUACUGGGCGUAAAGCGUACGUAGGCGGUUAUUUAAGUCAGAUGUGAAAGCCCCGGGCUUAACUUGGGAACUGCAUUUGAAACUGGGUAACUAGAGUUUAGUAGAGGGGAGUGGAAUUUCAGGUGUAGCGGUGAAAUGCGUAGAGAUCUGAAGGAACACCAGUGGCGAAGGCGACUCCCUGGACUAAAACUGACGCUGAGGUACGAAAGCGUGGGUAGCAAACAGGAUUAGAAACCCCUGUAGUCC
rnacentral:rRNA from 1 species